rnacentral:rRNA from 1 species
AUGGGCAACGGUUCAAGUGCUUCUGUUCGUGGUGUUGGCACGGUCGAUCUGAAGUUUACUUCAGGGAAGAUCGUGCGGCUGAAGAACGUGCAUUAUGUCCCCUCCGUCAAUAAAAAUCUUGUUAGCGGAUCUCUUCUGUCGAGAGAUGGCUAUAAGCUUGUCUUUGAGUCGAAUAAAUUUGUAAUAUCCAAGUAUGGAACCUUUGUUGGUAAAGGCUAUGAGUCAGGAGGCCUAUUUCGUUUAUCCUUAUCAGACGUUUGCAAUAAAGUUGUUAAUCAUAUUUGCAACAAUAGUGACUCAAAUGUGUGGCAUUCACGUCUUUAUCAUGUUAACUUUGGUUGCAUGUCGCGACUUGCAAAGUUGAACUUAAUCCCUAGUUUUAGCACUGUCAAGGGAUCUAAGUGUCAAGUGUGUGUGCAAGCUAAGCAACCUCGUAAGUCUCACGUGACUGCGGAGAAGAGAAAUCUUGCACCACUAGAACUUAUACAUUCAGAUCUAUGUGAAAUGAAUGGUGUUUUGACAAAAGGU